rnacentral:rRNA from 1 species
GAUGAACGCUGGCGGCGUGCUUAACACAUGCAAGUCGAACGGAGAAAACGGAGCUUGCCCUGUGGGAUCAGUGGCGAACGGGUGAGUAACACAUGAGGAACACGCACCUGACUCUGGGAUAAGAGCUGGAAAAGGCGUAUAAUACAGGGUAUGUGACGUGACAGCAUGGUCUGCGUUUGUAAAGAACGUUCGGUUGGGGAUGGGCACACGGACUCGCGGCGCGUUGGUGAGUUGGUAAGGUAACAGGUCAGCAAGGCAAAGAUGCGCAGCCGAGCUGAGAGGGUGAUCGGCCACACUGGAACUGAGACACGCUCCAGACUCCUACGGGAGGCAGCAGUAGGGAACCUUCCGCAAUGGGCGAAAGCCUGACGGAGCAACGCCGCGUGAGUGAUGAAGGUCUUCGGAUCGUAAAACUCUGUUAUUAGGGAAGAACAAAUGUGUAAGUAACUAUGCACGUCUUGACGGUACCUAAUCAGAAAGCCACGGCUAACUACGUG